GCGAGGUAGCUCAGUUGGUAGAGCAAAGGACUGAAAAUCCUUGUGUCGGCAGUUCGAUUCUGCCCCUAG
rnacentral:tRNA from 1 species